CGUUGUGCGUCCGUCCCGUGCUGUCGCGAGUACCGCGCCCGCGACAGUUUUUCGUCCGCAUUCGUUCGUCGUCUCGUUCAUUUUUAUUCUUUUCUUAUUUCUACGGGGUUAACCGUUUUUAUUGUUUUUUUUGUUAUUGUUUUUCAUCCCGGUGUAGUGCAACGGCCGGAGAAACUCGAUCGACAGAUUAUAUUAUAACGGCGUAGAAUAAACAAUAAUUGCCGCGCGGUGUUUUAUUCGUCGUCGACCGUGAAAAACCCGAAAAUAACGGUGUGAAAAUUUCGAAAAACUCGAAAAAAAAAAAAAAAAUUACGUUGCGGCGAUCUUUGUGUGCGGGCGCCGUAUCGCGUUCUAUUACGAAAAAAAAAAAAAAUAAUAAAAAAAUACAUAAUAUUUUUUUGGCAAUAUCGCGGUGCAAUAGUGCGCGUACGGUGUGCGUUCGGGAUAUUGAGUAAACACGAACGCGGUGCGGUGCGGCGCGUUAUUUCUUCGUCGGCGUGCGCGCGGAUAAUAUGUCGGCCAAGAAAAUCCGUUUUCGUCAACGGCGCUGACGACGACGAGACGUUUGCCGCGCGUUCCGCCCCGUUGACAAAACCGCUUUCUCGUGCGUUCGCGCGGAGUGCCGUCCGUUUUAUACCCCCGAGGAUUCCGCGGCGACCGGCCGUGCAGCUGUCAACGCGUGCAGCCGUCCACGCCGUCGUCCGGCCGCUGUCUCCGUCCGGCUUCACGUGUCUGUCCGUUCCAAAAUACGGUAUGAAUUCACUUGAUAAACAGCACGACCCUCGGGUAUCGCACGAGCACACGCCGCGAGGUUUAUCGAAAUCAUAUUUGUUAUUUUUUUUUUUUUUUUUUCCCCCGUCCGUCAUUAUUAGAGAAAAGUACGGUCUAUCGGGGUCAAUAUACAAUUGUGCAUAACAACGGUCGAAAAUAAUAACAGAAUCUGUCCGCGGACCGCGAACGAGGUUGGACCGCACUGCUCCCACCCACUACUUUCCGUAAAAUGUAACGUAACCGUUUCGAGCGUUUCGAGUGGCCACCAAAGUCCGACGACGGUACGAAAACGUUACGCUAUUUCGUCACCCUUCGUGUCAGAUUAGGACGCGGUUAGGUUACGGACGUAGGAUUGUAGGACGCUCGUCCCGGCUUUUUAGCGGACGGCUCCGUUCUGUCGCCGUUAUCCCCGUCGCGAUAAAGAACAAAACGAAUCAU